GACCUGUUGGCGCAGUGGGCAGCGCACCCACAAUAGGUAGCUGAUUUUUGAAUGAAGGCCAUCAUGUGGGAGGUCCAGUUUGACUCUGGGACAGGUCA